UACGUAGGGGGCAAGCGUUGUCCGGAAUCAUUGGGCGUAAAGCGCGUGUAGGCGGCUCGAUAAGUCUGCUGUGAAAGUCCAGGGCUCAACCCUGGGAUGCCGGUGGAUACUGUCGAGCUCGAGUCCGGAAGAGGAGUGUGGAAUUCCUGGUGUAGCGGUGAAAUGCGCAGAUAUCAGGAGGAACACCAAUGGCGAAGGCAGCACUCUGGGACGUGACUGACGCUGAGACGCGAAAGCGUGGGGGGCAAACAGG
rnacentral:rRNA from 1 species